UCUCGUCCCUCCCUCCCUGCUGGUUUCCUCCCUGUGCAGGCUACUAGCAGUAGCCGCAGCCAGCAAGCAGCAACUUGGUGCAGGUAGCAGUAGCGGUAGCAGUAGCAGCAGCAGCAGCAGUGGCGAAUGUGGCAGUAAAUUUAAGUUGUUUGAUGGUCAAUUGAGGUCUCUAACCACUGCAUUGAGUCAUACAUGUACUGUGGGCGGAGAAGAGAGCUUAAGGAGGGAUUCAUGUUAGCUGGAUUGGAGGUAAUCUAUCUCAAGUGCUGACAUUUCAGGAGUUGGGGACAAGCUUACCUUCACUUAGAACAGGAGGGGAGUUUAAUUGAGUUGAUUUGGAGUGUUCUGAAGCCAAGGAUCACUCUGGUUACAUUCCCCUUUCCUCUUUUGGGCUGUACUCCUUCCUGCGAGUCCUAGGAAUUGCAGCAACAUCAACAUCAUCCUCAACAUUCUACAGGAGCAGAAUUUCUUUUAAUUUGCCAAAAUGGUGAAGGUCGCUGAAAUACAAGUUUUAUACUGAUUUUGAGCAAGCUGAAUUCUUGAUGGAAUUUCUUUUAAUUUGCCUAUGUAGCUAAGCUUUUGAAAGGUGGCUAGUGAUCUUACCUUCAUCUAGAGUUGGUAGGAACUUUGUUUGGAUUGUUUUGAAGGUUAGUUUUUCCUGAAUUUUAGUUUUCAU